UAAGGAAUAUUGGACAAUGGGCGCAAGCCUGAUCCAGCCAUGCCGCGUGAGUGAUGAAGGCCCUAGGGUUGUAAAGCUCUUUCACCGGUGAAGAUAAUGACGGUAGCCGGAGAAGAAGCCCCGGCUAACUUCGUGCCAGCAGCCGCGGUAAUACGAAGGGGGCUAGCGUUGUUCGGAAUUACUGGGCGUAAAGCGCACGUAGGCGGAUCGAUCAGUUAGGGGUGAAAUCCCGGGGCUCAACCCCGGAACUGCCUCUAAUACUGUCGAUCUGGAGUUCGAGAGAGGUGAGUGGAAUUCCGAGUGUAGAGGUGAAAUUCGUAGAUAUUCGGAGGAACACCAGUGGCGAAGGCGGCUCACUGGCUCGAUACUGACGCUGAGGUGCGAAAGCGUGGGGAGCAAACA
rnacentral:rRNA from 1 species